AAUGCGGCCACUCCAAGGAGGCUGGGAGGAUUGUGGGAGGCCAAGACACCCAGGAAGGAUGCUGGCCAUGGCAGGUUGGCCUGUGGUUGACCUCAGUGGGGCACGUAUGUGGGGGCUCCCUCAUCCACCCACGCUGGGUGCUCACGGCCGCCCACUGCUUCCUGAGGUCUAAGGAUCCCAGGCUCUACCAUGUUAAAGUCGGAGGGCUGACACCCUCCCUUUCAGAGCCCCACUCGGCCUUGGUGGCUGUGAGGAGGCUCCUGGUCCACUCCUCAUACCAUGGGACCACCACCAGCGGGGACAUUGCCCUGAUGGAGCUGGACUCCCCCUUGCAGGCCUCCCAGUUCAGCCCCAUCUGCCUCCCAGGACCUCAGACCCCCCUCGCCAUUGGGACCGUGUGCUGGGUAACGGGCUGGGGGUCCACCCAGGAGAGAGCCCUGGCGAGUGUCCUUCAGGAGGUGGCUGUGCCCCUCCUGGACUCGAACAUGUGUGAGCUGAUGUACCACCUAGGAGAGCCCAGCCUGGCUGGCCAGCGCCUCAUCCAGGACGACAUGCUCUGUGCUGGCUCUGUCCAGGGCAAGAAAGACUCCUGCCAGGGUGACUCCGGGGGGCCGCUGGUCUGCCCCAUCAAUGAUACGUGGAUCCAGGCCGGCAUUGUGAGCUGGGGAUUCGGCUGUGCCCGGCCUUUCCGGCCUGGUGUCUACACCCAGGUGCUAAGCUACACAGACUGGAUUCAGAGAACCCUGGCUGAAUCUCACUCAGGCAUGUCCGGGGACCGCCCAGGUGCCCCCGGGUCCCACUCAGGCACCUCCAGAUCCCACCUAGUGCUGCCGCUUGAGCUGUUGACCGUAUGCUUGCUUGGGUCCCUGUGA
rnacentral:sRNA from 1 species